UGGAUGAGGGUGCGACGUAUCAGAUAGUUGGUGAGGUAACGGCUCACCAAGUCAUUGACGCGUAGCUGUACUGAGAGGUAGAACAGCCACAAUGGGACUGAGACACGGCCCAUACUUNUACGGGAGGCAGCAGUAGGGAAUUUUUCACAAUGGGCGAAAGCCUUAUGAAGCAAUGCCGCGUGANCGNNGAAGGUCUAUAAGAUUGUAAAGUUCUUUUAUUUGGGAAGAACCACUAAAAUAGGAAAUGAUUUUAGUUUGACUGUACCAUUUGAAUAAGUAUCGGCUAACUAUGUGCCAGCAGCCGCGGUAAUACAUAGGAUGCANNCGUUAUCCGGAUUUACUGGGCGUAAAACGAGCGCAGGCGGAUUUGUAAGUUUGGUAUGAAAUCUAGAUGCUUAACGUCUAGCUGUAUCAAAAACUACGAAUCUAGAGUGUAGCAGAGAGUUGGGGAACUCCAUGUGGAGCNNUAAAAUGCGUAGAUAUAUGGAAGAACACCNGUGGCGAAGGCGCCAACUUGGACUAUUACUGACGCUUAGGCUCGAAAGUGUGGGGAGCAAAUAGGAUUAGAUACCCUA
rnacentral:rRNA from 1 species